GAUGAACGCUGGCGGCGUGCCUAAUACAUGCAAGUCGAGCGAACAGACGAGGAGCUUGCUCCUCUGACGUUAGCGGCGGACGGGUGAGUAACACGUGGAUAACCUACCUAUAAGACUGGGAUAACUUCGGGAAACCGGAGCUAAUACCGGAUAAUAUAUUGAACCGCAUGGUUCAAUAGUGAAAGACGGUUUUGCUGUCACUUAUAGAUGGAUCCGCGCCGCAUUAGCUAGUUGGUAAGGUAACGGCUUACCAAGGCAACGAUGCGUAGCCGACCUGAGAGGGUGGUCGGCCACCCUGGAACUGGGACACGGACCCGGCUCCUAAGGGAGGCAGCAGUAGGGAAUCUUCCGCAAUAGGCGGAAACCUGGCGGAGCAACGCCGCGUGAGUGAUUAAGGUCUUCGGAUCGUAAAACUCUGUUAUUAGGGAAGAACAAAUGUGCAAGUAACUAUGCACGUCUUGACGGUACCUAAUCAGAAAGCCACGGCUAACUACGUG
rnacentral:rRNA from 1 species